rnacentral:rRNA from 1 species
UACGGAGGGAGCUAGCGUUGUUCGGAAUUAUUGGGCGUAAAGAGCUCGUAGGCGGUUUGUCGCGUCUGCUGUGAAAACGCGAGGCUCAACCUCGCGCCUGCAGUGGGUACGGGCAGACUAGAGUGCGGUAGGGGAGAUUGGAAUUCCUGGUGUAGCGGUGGAAUGCGCAGAUAUCAGGAGGAACACCGAUGGCGAAGGCGGAUCUCUGGGCAGUAACUGACGCUGAGGAGCGAAAGCGUGGGGAGCGAACAGG